GCCCUCGUUGUCUAAUGGUUAUGACGUCAGACUUCUAAUCUGGAGGUUGUGGGUUCGAGUCCCACCGGGGGCU
rnacentral:tRNA from 1 species